AUUGAACGCUGGCGGCGUGCCUAAUACAUGCAAGUCGAACGGAGUGGCUCACGGGUGAGUAAUGUAUAGCUAAUCUGCCCUACACUAGAGGACAACGGUUGGAAACGACUGCUAAUACUCUAUAGUUUAUGUGGAUGCUAUAUUGUAUCAGCUAGUUGGUGAGGUAAGGGCUCACCAAGGCUAUGACGCACAACUGGGCUGAGAGGAUGAUCAGUAAAAGUGUAACUGAGACACGGUCCAGAAUCCUACGGGAGGCAGCAGUAGGGAAUAUUGCUCAUGGGGGGAAAACCAGAAGCAGCAACGCGGGGUGGAGGAUGACACUUUUCGGAGCGUAAACUCCUGUUGUUAGGGAAGCGGUACCUACAGAAUAAGCACCGGCUAACUCCGUGCCAGCAGCCGCGGUAAUAC
rnacentral:rRNA from 1 species